GUCCAUCUUCAUGGUGAGAGAUGGGCAGAGUUUUUGAUUCUAUCGAUUGGUUGCAGUGAGUCUGGGCAUGCUCAUUGCUCUUCUACUGGUCGUUGACAUUGGUCUGGGGGUCCAAUACAGCAAAGUCAGUGAGAAGUACGGUCCACUAUAUCAGAACUUGACA